rnacentral:rRNA from 1 species
GAUCAACGCUGGCGGCGUGCAUAACACAUGCAAGUCGAACGAUGAAGAUUAAAAGAUUUCUUCGGAAUGAACUUAAUUGGAUUAGUGGCGGACGGGUGAGUAACGCGUGAGUAACCUGCCUUGUACAAGGGGAUAGCCGUUGGAAACGACGAAUAAUACCCUAUGACAUCAAAUAAUCGCAUGAUAAUUUGAUCAAAGAUUUAUCGGUAUAAGAUGGACUCGCGUCUGAUUAGCUAGUUGGUAGAGUAAAAGCCUACCAAGGCAACGAUCAGUAGCCGGCUUGAGAGAGUGUACGGCCACAUUGGGACUGAGACACGGCCCAGACUCCUACGGGAGGCAGCAGUGGGGAAUUUUGCACAAUGGGGGAAACCCUGAUGCAGCGACGCCGCGUGAUUUAGAAGGCCUUCGGGUUGUAAAAAUCUUUUGUAUGGGAAGAAAAUGACAGUACCAUACGAAUAAGAACCGGCUAAUUACGUG